AUCAUAGUUGGUGAAGACCUCAAUGCUGUGGUAGUGCCUGUGAAUGAGAUCAGCGUGACACACAAGGGACACUGGACCACAACCGCUGAGAUAAGAAGCCAGGAUGCUCCGACUGCAGUCAUGGCUCUGACUGUAACAACUGGCUGACCGAUCUUACCUGUGGCACUGGUGCCAUACCCAGCUCUCUCUGGUGGCACGGGGUCGGAAGUCGG